UGAUCACCUGUAACCUCUCCCCUAAAAUCCAUAAACCACUAAACAGUUCAGUUAUUGAACUUUUCUCGUUGAGCUUGUAAACAUUGGAUAUGGAUUGAAAAGAAAAAGUGUUUUUAAAAAUGGAGAUAGGCGCUGUGUCUGUUUUAGUUUUGGUAAUUUCUCAAGCAGUACAGGUACUCUCUGGUAAGUAAACGUUAC
rnacentral:sRNA from 1 species